CCCAGGGAUGCCACCCUCCAGCAAAAGGUAAGAAACUGGAAGGUGGGUUUAAAAAUGUUUAACGUGUGUCAGUAUGUCUGUGUGUGUGUUUCAGUAUGUCUCUGUGUGUGUCAGUAUGUCUGGGUGUGUAUCAGUGUGUGUGUGUGUCAGUAUGUCUGUCAGUGUAUGUGCCUGUGUGUAUCUCAGUAUGCCUGUCUGUGGGUGUCAGUAUGUCUGUCAGUGUUUGAAUCUAUGUCUGUCAGUGUAUGUGCCUGUGCGUGUCAGUAUGUCUAUCAGUGUAUGUGCCUGUGUGUGUGUGUGUCAGUAUGUCUGUCAGUGUAUGUGCCUGUGUGUGUCUCAGUAUGCCUGUCUGUGGGUUUCAGUAUGUCUGUCAGUGUUUGUAUCCAUGUGUGUCAGUGUAUGUGCCUGUGUGUGUCAGUAUGUCUAACAGUGUAUGUGCCUGUGUGUGUGUGUCAAUGUCUGUCAGUGUAUGUGCCUGUGUGUAUCUCAGUAUGCCUGUCUGCGGGUGUCAGUAUGUCUGU